rnacentral:rRNA from 1 species
GACGUAGGGCGCGAGCGUUGUCCGGAAUCAUUGGGCGUAAAGAGCGUGUAGGCGGCCCGGUAAGUCCGCUGUGAAAGUCGGGGGGCUCAACCCUCGAAUGCCGGUGGAUACUGUCGGGCUAGAGUGCGGAAGAGGCGAGUGGAAUUCCUGGUGUAGCGGUGAAAUGCGCAGAUAUCAGGAGGAACACCGAUUGCGAAGGCAGCUCGCUGGGACGUAACUGACGCUGAGACGCGAAAGCGUGGGGAGCAAACAGG